rnacentral:rRNA from 1 species
GAAUUGACGGGGGCCCGCACAAGCGGUGGAGCAUGUGGUUUAAUUCGAUGCAACGCGAAGAACCUUACCUGGUCUUGACAUCCACGGAAGUUUUCAGAGAUGAGAAUGUGCCUUCGGGAACCGUGAGACAGGUGCUGCAUGGCUGUCGUCAGCUCGUGUUGUGAAAUGUUGGGUUAAGUCCCGCAACGAGCGCAACCCUUAUCCUUUGUUGCCAGCGGUCCGGCCGGGAACUCAAAGGAGACUGCCAGUGAUAAACUGGAGGAAGGUGGGGAUGACGUCAAGUCAUCAUGGCCCUUACGACCAGGGCUACACACGUGCUACAAUGGCGCAUACAAAGAGAAGCGACCUCGCGAGAGCAAGCGGACCUCAUAAAGUGCGUCGUAGUCCGGAUUGGAGUCUGCAACUCGACUCCAUGAAGUCGGAAUCGCUAGUAAUCGUGGAUCAGAAUGCCACGGUGAAUACGUUCCCGGGCCUUGUACACACCGCCCGUCACACCAUGGGAGUGGGUUGCAAAAGAAGUAGGUAGCUUAACCUUCGGGAGGGCGCUUACCACUUUGUGAUUCAUGACUGGGGUGAAGUCGUAACAAGGUAACCGUAGGGGAACCUGCGGUUGGAUCACCUCCUUACCU